rnacentral:rRNA from 1 species
UUAGAGGAAGUAAAAGUCGUAACAAGGUUUCCGUAGGUGAACCUGCGGAAGGAUCAUUAAAAGUAAUAAGUGCUCCCCGCGCGUAUUAUGAAACCCAUCUGUGUACCUUACCUGUUGCUUCCGUGGGUGGAUGGCUACGGCCGCACCCGCCAAACGUGGCGGACCCACGGGAGGUCUACAUCAAAACUUUGCUUGCAAUGAUAUCUGUCUGAAUUGUCUCAAUGAGAAAAGUUAAAACUUUCAACAACGGAUCUCUUGGUUCUCGCAUCGAUGAAGAACGCAGCGAAAUGCGAUAAGUAGUGUGAAUUGCAGAAUUCAGUGAAUCAUCGAAUCUUUGAACGCACAUUGCGCCUCCUGGUAUUCCGGGAGGCAUGCCUGUUCGAGCGUCAUCAAGGAAGGCUCAAGCAUGUUUGCUUGGACUUGGAGGAAGAGCGUGCCCUUUGGGUGGGUUCCCCUCUGAAAUUCAAUGGCGGAUGGUCCAUCUGGACACCGACGUAGUAGGAGCAAUCUCUCGUCGUGGCCUUGGAUUGUCCUGCCCACAAUCCCCUCAAAAAAAAAUAACCGUUGACCUCGGAUCAGGUAGGGAUACCCGCUGAACUUAAGCAUAUCA